AGGGGUGUCAAAUGGGGGUGUCAAAAAAAUUUAUUCCGCAUAACAAAGCCGUUUAUAAGCAUUUUGUUUGUGCGUUCGGGACGCAGAGGUCGCAAGUUCAAAUCUUGUCACCUCGACCA
rnacentral:tRNA from 1 species